rnacentral:rRNA from 1 species
CCAGACUCCUACGGGAGGCAGCAGUGAGGAAUAUUGGUCAAUGGUCGGGAGACUGAACCAGCCAAGCCGCGUGAGGGAGGAAGGUACAGAGUAUCGUAAACCUCUUUUGUCAGGGAACAAAGGCGGGGACGUGUCCCCGGAUGAGUGUACCUGAAGAAAAAGCAUCGGCUAACUCCGUGCCAGCAGCCGCGGUAAUACGGAGGAUGCGAGCGUUAUCCGGAUUUAUUGGGUUUAAAGGGUGCGCAGGCGGUCUGUUAAGUCAGCGGUCAAAGCCCGGGGCUCAACCCCGGCCCUCCGUUGAAACUGGCAGUCUCGAGUUGGAGAGAAGUAUGCGGAAUGCGCGGUGUAGCGGUGAAAUGCAUAGAUAUCGCGCAGAACUCCGAUUGCGAAGGCAGCAUGCCGGCGCCCGACUGACGCUGAGGCACGAAAGCGUGGGGAUCGAACAGGAUUAGAUACCCUGGUA